UUAUAAAUGAAGAGACAAAUUGUGUCAUUACAGCAAAAACAUUAAACAAAAUCCCUCUUCGUUGGCACAACAAAAUCCCAAAAAUCAGAAUUUUCUUCAUUUUUUCAAAUCAAGAAAGAGACAAAAAGGGGUUCAACUGCACCACCCACCAAACGAUUCAACUGAAUUGUUUACCAGUGCCACGAAGGGUUUGUUCUUGGGGUUUAGAAGAAAAAAGAUUGAAUUUUUUGUUGUUUUUGUUGAAGAAAAUAAGGGAGAAAUUUGUGGGAAGUGAAGAAAGAUAAGGGGGUUAAGAAAGUAUGUGAUUUAGUGGUGAUCAAGUCUUCUGUGUGUGGAAGAAGAUCUGAAGAAAUAUGAGUGCUUCAAGGUUCAUAGAGUGUGUUACUGUUGGUGAUGGGGCUGUUGGAAAGACCUGUUUGUUGAUAUCUUACACUAGUAACACUUUUCCCACGGUUAGAAUUUAAGUUUUGGAUUAUGGGUUUUUGUUGACUUUUAUUUUAUUUCAUGUUGUUAGGUGUUCUUGAUUUGAUAGGUUAAAGAUUUUAAUGUUUCUUGGGCAUUUAUUAGUUAAUUUAGAUAUAUGUUUAAUUGAUAAAAAGAUUAUGAAUUUACUUGAAUUUUCUGUUAUUCUUGUUCUUGAUUUAGUUGUAAAAGGAGGAAUCUGUAUAUGAAUGGAUCUUUUAGGGAGUCAAAUUUGAAAUUUGGGUUAACAUUUUCUUGAUAAAGAUGAUGAAUUUGUCUGGAUUUUUUUAAUUUGUGUUCUUGUUUCAAUUGGUGAAAAAGAAUAGCCGGUCGUCAAUUCUUGAACGGGUACAUAUCUGCAAUUGUAGAGAGAGAGCAAAGACGAUUUGUAGAGAGAGAAGAGAGAGGGAGAGAGAGUUAGAGAGAGAAAGAGAAUGGAGGAAUGAAAUUCUAUUUUAUAUCAUUAUUUUUUUUUUAUUAUAUAACACUCUAAUUUGUAACAUUUUGGUGUUGUGAGAGUUGCACCUUGUGCUUUUAUGGUUUUCCCUGUUUAUUUGUGUUGUACCUUUUAGUUUAUGAGUUGUACCCUUUUUUACAUAAUCUAGCUCAUGGUUUUAUCAAACUUCAAAUCCUUCAAUCAGUUCAGAGAAAGAGAGAGAGAGAGCGCGAUAAAAAGAACGCAUGGGAGAAAGGGAACUGAUUCCACGGUGGGUUGAGGCGGAGCUGCAGAGACGGUGUUCCAUGGCGGUGGUUUACUGAAGAAGACGCCGUGGCAUCCGGCGGUCCGGCGCGGCGGCGCAUAGCGGAGUGUUUCGGAGUUCAUUUCUGUUUGAGUGUUUCGAAGAAGAAGAAGAAAGAGAAGAAGAAGGAGAAGAAGGAAGGUCACCAACAACUAUUAGAUCUCAACUAUCGCUCAUAAGAUCGAGCACCAGCCGAGAAGAGACGUUGCCGAUGACGGCGGUGAUGGUUGCUCCGGGAAAGCCAGGAGAUUGAGAGCAGAAGCGCAACGAUGAUAAGUUUGAGUUGCAGAGAAGGCGCCAUUAACGGAGAAUCGAGAGGUGUAGAGAUGAAUGAUGGUGAAAAAAACGAUGGUAGUUGGAGUUGCGAUGGAGUUUCCUGCCUUUGGCGGUGCCGGUCUAUCAUUGCCGUAAACUUUGCUGCAGAAGCUCCGCUGGAGACUCACGAAAACGAUGGAGUCUCCGUCAAGUGUUAAGAAAAGAAGAUUAGAUGUCAAAAUUAUGGAAAACUAAUGCAAAGGAUAUUGACCAUUAGUCUAUAUGAUUACUGUUUGGAGAAAUCUUAGGGAAGGAGGAACUCUUUUGGGUUUACCAUUGACGGUUUGGCGUAUUUGGAAUUGGAUUUUUUGCGGCUCUACUGGAUAUUGGGCUUCUGGGUACAUUUUGUCGCUGCUGGAACUGACCUUUCUGCAGAUGGGGCUAUGUCUUAGUUGUGCAGAAAGAAGGCAAUACGGGUCUCCCUUGUGCGAUAGCAGGUCAGAUCAAAUAACAAUACCUAUUUGGUUCUUAGAUACACAUAUAUGUUUAUCUUUUGAAGUUAUGCGAAAGAUGUUAUGAUGAUGGUUUUGAUUCUCAAAGACGGUUUUUUGAUGUAACAAAAGCCUACUGGUACGGGUGUUUUUUACCCCGUCAAACCGGAGCCCCGACUGAGCCGUCUAAAAAACAUGAGAUUAUAUACCGACAAAGUGUGAUUAUGGCUCAGCAGAGGCAACGACCUCCUCAAGUACCCGAGUUCAGGCUACCUCAAGAAUGGACGUAUUGAAAAAAUGAAUUAGGAAAUGUUAGCUAAUAUAGCGUAUAAUAUAGUAUACAAGAUUUUGAGAAUGAGUUUUAGUGUUGAACUAGAAAAGUGUCCCGUGCGCGUUGUGUCGCGGGCAAAGAAAUUGACAACAUCUAGGCAUAAAGUCUUGGUUGCAGCUCAUGCAUCUAACUUGAUGGAAAUAUAAAUUUAGCCCCCGCCGCAUUGCGGCGGGUUACUUUUCUAGUUGUUA